AGCGAACGCUGGCGGCAGGCUUAACACAUGCAAGUCGAGCGGACCUUUCGGGGUCAGCGGCGGACGGGUGAGUAACGCGUGGGAACGUGCCUUCCGGUUCGGAAUAACCCUGGGAAACUAGGGCUAAUACCGGAUACGCCCUUAUGGGGAAAGGUUUACUGCCGGAAGAUCGGCCCGCGUCUGAUUAGCUAGUUGGUGGGGUAACGGCCUACCAAGGCGACGAUCAGUAGCUGGUCUGAGAGGAUGAACAGCCACACUGGGACUGAGACACGGCCCAGACUCCUACGGGAGGCAGCAGUGGGGAAUAUUGGACAAUGGGCGCAAGCCUGAUCCAGCCAUGCCGCGUGAGUGAUGAAGGCCUUAGGGUUGUAAAGCUCUUUUAUCCGGGACGAUAAUGACGGUACCGGAGGAAUAAGCCCCGGCUAACUUCGUG
rnacentral:rRNA from 1 species